AUGCACACACAUGUACCUGGCAUGUUUUUCAAACCACCAGAACCAGGAUUCAAAAUGUGGUCAGCCGUGAGGGCUCGGGCUCCUUCCACACAGGCCCAACCACCGGCUGGGGGCUGGCUCUGAACAGUUUCCGUAAGUGAAAGGGACGUCAGUUUGUCUCCGCGCUCGUUCUGCGGAGAAAGAAGCAAGACAUUAACGCAGAGCCUGGACAAGCGCUGUUGGUGCUAACACACGGAAUUUCUCUGUCUGGGUGAGCAGCGGAUUCAUGAUGGAAACUCACUCUGUGUACUGUAAAGAGGGCGGCGGCUGAAGGUGAGAAUAAACAAAGGAGAGAAUAAAGGAGACAAUGUUUCCUAGCCUGUCCUUUCUUUGUCCUUAUCUUUUUAUGUUGUUGAACAUUUUCCAUUUCCUUUAAAGAGAAAGUAAACAUGCAGCGAAUCUUACUCGUUAGGGGUCCAGUUUUAGGAGUUUUGCUAAAUACGAUCCUGGAGCCCCACUCAAGACCCUGAGCAGUUCGAGUCCCCGAGACGAUGGAAAGUUUGACAGACUCGGCUCAGUGGCCGGCACGUUACGGGCCCACUUAACGUGGUGCUGCCUUCACACGGGAAGGCUGUCGGGUGGGCGGCGAGACCUCAGGGACGUUCGGAGGUGGCCCCAGGUGGUUGCACGUGGCAGCUGCGCUCCUGCAUGAAGACGGAGGGGACUAAACCAAGCAGAACUUGGGAGUCUCGAUGCUGGAUGGGGGCUCCAGAGAGGGCCGGUACUGACCACGCGGGGGAGGUGAGGACAGAAACAGUGCUUCUCUUUAAAGGUUUACUUACUCAUUUCUUCAGUGACGUGAGAGCGAGCAGGUGAGACCCCCAAAGGGUCGUCGUGCCACAUCCAUCCCCAGUAUGCUCACAGCCAAGGAAGACGGAGCCAGGCCAGUGUGGUUUGGAGCUACAACCCCGGGAUAAAAUAGCCUACCAUGAUGGGCAGGGCCGUGAGCAAUGGCGUUUCUGUGUCCCCACCCGGAGAGCCCACGCGCUCGGAGACCUUAUUCUGAGACUCAUGUUUAAGCACCUUUCCCAUGAAGAAGUUACAGGACUGGCUCUGUAUUUUCUGGGGAAGACUAAUGCGCUAAUUCAGACACCAGCGAGCAACCCUGGAACUUUCCUGCAGGUACCUGAGGGUGAGCCAGGCUGAGAAGCCGGGUUUUCUGGACGCUCCUGGAAGAUAAAGGCCACAGUCCAAAUCCGCAUGCAGAACGGCCUUGGGUACAUUUGCAUCUGAGAAGACGUGGGGGCCUUGGGGCAGGCUAGAGGCUAGAGCAGCAGGACUCCCAGGGACACAGGUGCUGUCCUUCAGGGCUCCUCAGCCUCUGCACGGUCGCCAUUCUGGGGCUGGGGAUGCCUCUGCUGCCCUGUGCAGGAUAGUUAGCAGCUGGCCGAACUCCACCCACGUCGCUGGUAGCACAGCUCUGGCAACAAACGUGUCUAGUCAUGGACCAGCCGUCCCUGGGCGGGGAACAAGACUGCCUCCAGGCCGAGGGCCGCUGUUCCAGGACUCGAUGGACUUCCAUCUCCGGCUUCAGGGGCUCGCUCAUCCCCGGUCACACUGCUCUAAUCAAGUCGGUGGCCAGAGUAACCAUCAUGACAUCGGUCCUCGUGUGCCCGAGGAGUUAGUGUCCUUUAUCCAGAGGCUCUGACCGGUCCCUAAAUGCCUGGCUCACCAGGGAUUCAGACAAACGUGAUUACCGAGAAGGGCUCUCUCUGAAGGGGCUCAGACCUGUGGAAAGGAACGCGACCUGCUUCCCUGCACCUGCAAUCCCUACUUCGAAUUCUGAACCCUCUUUAGCCAGCCGGUCCUGGCGGGCUCUGGCGGUCUAGGUCACCUCCCCAAACGUUCUCGUCACAUUUGCUGGGGGCGUUGUCCUGGUGGUCUGUAACACCUUGCCCAGAAGCUGUCCUGGAGAAGAAAAGCCGAAACGGAAUGUUUUCUCUUGGCUGAGGUCAUAGCUCAGACCCCAGACUUCUAGGGCGAGUCUGGUCUAAACAAGAAGCCCUGCUUUCUGCUGUGAGAUGUCCCCACUGGGAGAGAGGCCCGAGCUGCAGGCCUCAGCAAGGACACAGUUUCAACACGACCCACCUACCAUUACUGCCUGCUUUCUUCAGAGAGAGAAAGAGAGGUGCCCCAGCCUGGCCCCGUGCUGCGACCCGUCCCCGGGCCCCGCCGGCCUGGAUCACAGCACACGUGUGUGCACCAGCAUGUAGGGAGGUCCCAGGCAGGUCCCAGGCAGGAGCCCGGGCCUCCCCCACAUGGUCCGGACACCACCUCACCCCCGAUGCGUUCACAGUUGAUACUAAUGCAACGUUGGGGGUCCUCAGUUCGCAGGAACCCCGGGAUGGAAUGUUCUCUACUGCCAAAGCUUAGCUACUGGACGUCCCAGGCUCCCAGACUCUCCCCAGGCCAUACAGCGUAUCAACCUACAUAUUUUAAAGUUUUAUAUACGUAUGUAUUUAUUUAUGAGCGAGAAAGAGAGACAAGCUUCCUUGACAGGAUCCCACACUGCGACGCACCUCCGGGCUUUCACAGCCAGCCUGGAUCCAAGGACACGUUGACACCUGGGAACCGAACCUUGGUCAUCCACAUGUGGCUUCCACAUCGCAGAACCUGCUCCUGCUGCACCGUGCAGCUGGGCCUUCACGAGCCCGUUGGCAGAGCAGAAAUCCUUGGUGACACCGUAAACCCAGAGCGGUGCCACCAUCACCACUGCUACUCCCAGGGGAGCCCCAUCCCCGCCUGGAGUCUGUCCCCAUGACCUCCGCCCUCUCCAGGCCCUGGGCAGCCACCACGCUCUGUCACUGCACGUUGCAAGUAACUUUCGGAAAGCUGUGGUAAUAUGUGCACAACCUAAAAUUGACCAUUUUUU